UCUCGCUUUGUACUUAACCCGUCAAAAUCACAAAAACUCGACGAUGAUCUCCAAACCCUACUGAAAAGCCUAAACUGCCCCGUUAAAGUGAACAAAUCUGCAUUACGUGCCCCUGGGACGCCUCAUUCGUGGCCUAGUCUACUUGCAGCGAUUCACUGGCUUUUUCAGCUCGGUAAAUUUGAUGAUUACCGGUUGAGUACCGGAGCUCAACAACUUGCUUCGGAGAAUAAGGUGUUUAGGUAUACUGUUGAGAAUUAUUCUCAUUACAUUAGAGGAGAAGAUAAAGAAGCUGGUAAAUUUGAUGAUCACCGGUUGAGUACCCGAGCUCAACAGCUUGCUUCGGAGAAUAAGGUGUUUAGGUAUACUGUUGAGAAUUACUCUCAUUACAUUAGGGGAGAAGAUAA
rnacentral:lncRNA from 1 species